CUUCUCUUAUUUCUCUGCAGGGCUCUAAGAGGUCUCGAACAGGGGUGACAAAGUCAUUAAGUACUGCCACAAACAUUCCUGUUCAAUAGACACGCUCCACAUGCAACUGUUGAAGUGGAAUUACAGAAGAUAUGCAGCUUGUGCAUUUUUAUUUCAAUAAAUUUGGGAUUAAUGAGAAUUGGAAAACUUGUCCAGCAGAAUACAAUUGAGAGCAACUGGGCAUCAAUUGCACAACAAGCCGAGAGAAAGGGAAGUUCUUACUGUCGUAUAUCUUAUUCUGAGUAAUCUGUUUUAGCUAAGGGAAUAUUGAUUGAAACUUUGCUCAUAUAUGUGUUGUAGGAAUGGACAACAGAUAGAAGCUUGAAGUUGUCAAGAGGCAACAAUGAGGGAACAUGAUUCUUCAUACAGAAGUGGACCAGGAUCGUAGCAUAGGAUUGUUUAUUUUUGAGAUUGUUUUGUUUUGUUUUGUGUAAUUGAUUUGUAAUAGGCUUGUGUGUUAGCCUUCUAUAGUUUUAGCUUUGUUUUGUAAAAGGGUUUUUGAAAAGUCCAAGUUCUUUGGAAGAGUCCUUGGUACUCUUUCAUUGUUUUAUUUAAAUUUGACAUAGCUAGACAGCUAGACAGGUGAGUGGGUCUUGUUAGUCAAAACUACAAGUCUCACUAUAGGAGUAGAAUUUUAUAUUGAUUGUUUGAUUUUUGUGUUUCACAAUUAGGGGUCAUUAGAGUCCAAAAGUAAUUAGUGUUUGUUUGUAAGGCAUGUACUUUGUUUUUAAAUGUAAUUCACUUUAAGGGUUAGUCAGUAGCAUUAGAUAAUUUUGGUAAGGCAAGAUCUGAUCCUUAAGUAACCUUUUUGACUCACUUUU